rnacentral:rRNA from 1 species
AAUGAACGUUGGCGGCGUGGAUUAGGCAUGCAAGUCGUACGCUUUAUGUAGCAAUACAUGAAGAGUGGCGUAAGGGAGAGUAAUGCAUGGUUAGCUACCCUCGGGACUGGGAUAGCGGCGGGAAACUGCCGGUAAUACCAGAUGACAUCUUCGGAUCAAACGUGUAAAUCGGCCCGAGGAGGUGACCAUGUCCUAUCAGCUAGUUGGCGGUGUAACGGACCACCAAGGCUAAGACGGGUAUGGGGCGUGAGAGCGUGCCCCCACUCACUGGGACUGAGACACUGCCCAGACACCUACGGGUGGCUGCAGUCGAGAAUCUUCGGCAAUGGGCGCAAGCCUGACCGAGCGACGCCGCGUGCGGGAUGAAGGCCUUCGGGUUGUAAACCGCUGUCGUAGGGGAGGAAGGCUCCGUGCAGAACGGAGUUUGACCGAUCCUAGGAGGAAGGGCCGGCUAAUCUCGUGCCAGCCGCCGCGGUAACAC